CUUGUUGCACUUCAUGUUUUUCUCUAAGUGCCACUAUCUGAGUGCAAAGUCAGUGGGACAGAGACUGUAUCUUGCUGGGUGACCCUAGAGCAACAGAGACACAGUCAUGACUGGAGGCUGGUCUGGUGGGAUAGAUGAAGAGAACGGACCUACCAGAUGGAGGAGCAGAGCUUGAAAGCAGAACAGAGAUGGAGGAAUAAAACUUGAAAGCAGAACCAAGAUCCAUAUCACCACCCUAAAAAAACAACUACUUUAAAAAACAAGUGAAGAAAAAAAAAAUUGUGACCUUGGACCCUUCCAAAAUGCCAAGAGGCAUUUCUUUGGGGUUGAGCACCUCAGAGGCUUCUGUGUGCUUUUUGUCGUCACCACCAGGGCAGCGUGGCGUGUGGACAAGCCAACUGGUUGGUGCAUCUCAGUUGAGAUGGUGAUAUGACAAGGCCAUGGACAGGACUGACUGCCAGAAUUACUGUCACAAGGAAAUCUUGUGCCUCCUUGGAAAGCAAGGACUCAAAAUCAGAGGUGUUUGGCUUUCUAUAGAACUUCAAGAAGCUCUCCCCCAGUCAGUGGCAAGUUGGUACUCAUGCAGCUGGACACGUACCCCUAGACACAGGGGUGUAUGCACACACACAAGCACGUGUGCACUUCACUAUUUUGCUCAGUGUAUUUUGACCUUCAGCACCAAAGUAGGACUCACUUCUGACUACAGGAUUUAUGUCAAAGCUGAGCCUCUGGGGGCAUCCUUCCCCAAGACAGGGAGAACAAGGACAGGAGACACCCAGGGAGAAGGCUGGCAUGACCUUGAUUUUGCAGCAGCACAGGCAUGAGAAUUUCCAUGGUGGAGUUUGAAAUACCUCUUGGUUUGCAUAGCGGAGAUAAAUUGCACUAAAUAGAAUGGGGAACAUGACGGUAAUUAACAGAAAUGAAAAGAUUUAGCUGUCCAAGUUGAAAGAGGUAGCUGGCCAGCAAAGGAAUGGCUGUAUGUCUGUUUGGAGGGUCGUGUAUCUCAGACACGCUCUGUAGUUGGUCUGCUGCCUUUUCAGUAAAGUCACAUUUGUCCUCCCACUGGGUCUGGCAGGAGCACCAAAGGCAGAAGCUUCUCAGACUUUCACUACCCAAAUUUUAUAGGAAGACGUAGUGAACACUACCUAGUCAUAUCAUACUAUAGGGACAGCCUAGGCUUAGAGACAGUUUUGCAAAAAAAAAAAAAAAAGUAUAUAUAUAGUGUGUAUAUAUAUAUAUAUAUAUAUAUAUAUAUGAACUUGAAUCUCUCGUGUCUUCUGGAUGUGGAUAAGAGGGAGAAAACUGGUGACACCUAAACUCCCCAAACUACUUGACCAUGUAGCUACAGCUACAGCUUCCUGGGCUCCUCUUUCCAACUGCAGCAGCAUCAGUAAUCUUUUGCUAAUAUAUAUGGGUAUAAAAGUUUUUGAGAGAUCCCAAAACAGAAAGACUCUUACCUGUAUCUUUGUUUUCCUUCCUGUGUUAAUAAUAGCCACUAUAUUCCCAAUAAAAAUAUUCAGAGUACUGUGUUACGUCUGUUU
rnacentral:lncRNA from 1 species